CAGCAGUAGCCGCGGGAAUACGAAGGGGGCUAGCGUUGCUCGGAAUUACUGGGCGUAAAGGGCGCGCAGGCGGAUGUUUAAGUCAGAGGUGAAAGCCCAGGGCUCAACCUUGGAACUGCCUUUGAUACUGGACAUCUUGAGUGUGGGAGAGGUGAGUGGAACUCCGAGUGUAGAGGUGAAAUUCGUAGAUAUUCGGAAGAACACCAGUGGCGAAGGCGACUCACUGGCCCAUUACUGACGCUGAGGCGCGAAAGCGUGGGGAGCAAACAGUAUUAGAUACCCGAGUAGUCCCUGUCUCUUAUAU
rnacentral:rRNA from 1 species